AUGCAGCAGUGCCACGGAAAGGACAAGGCGGCUACCAGCGCGAUGCCGAACUACGCAAAGGCCACGGCAACUUCGAGCGCGAUGCCGAACCACGCAAAGGGCACGGCAACUGCGAGCGCGAUGCCGAACCACCUAAAGGGCACGGCAACUGCGAGCGCGAUGCGGCCGAAGCAGGUCUUUGCAGACGAGAACAUCGUGCAGGAGCCCUUAGCACAUCCUCAUCGAAUCCGACAAAGGGGGUUGAACAGGGUGCCGAGCUCUGUCUUGUCACGGAAGCACCUUGGAAAGGAGAGAUCGCACAAGCUAAAGGAGAAGGUGGAUACAGGCUUGAUUCCGCACAAGCAUAAUGCAAAGGUUAAGAUGUGCCCCCCUGAUCAGCUCCGCCAUCAUAUACAGGGUAUCCAGCAGCCUGUCAAGACUGAAUCACGUCUUGCCAGAGAGAUGUCUCAGAAGCUAAGGGAGAAGGUGGAUACAGGCUCGAAUCCACAGAAGCAUAAUGCAAAGGAGAAGACUUGCGCUUCUGAUCAGGAUAUGUGGCCUUUCAAGACUGAAGCAUGUCUUGCCGGAGAGAUGUCUCAGAGGCGAAUGGAGAAAGUGGAUACAGGCUCGAAUCAACAGAAGCAUAGUGCAGAGAAGAAGAUGUGCCCCCCUGAUCAGCUCCACCCACAUACACAUGGUAUCCAGCGAAAAGAACGUCUUUCUGUAGAGAAGAAGCACACAAAAAGCAAUACAUCUUUUCCAGCGAAAAGAACAUCUCCACAACUCAGAACAAGGACAAAUUCCCGCUGUUCUGAUGCGGGUACCAGUCGUCCCAUCGAUGCUCAUGACCAUGGCAACACUGCUGCUAUCCAGGAACAGAAACAACAAUAUGCCGCAACACAGGUAGAUGAAGAUGUGGGCGACAUAAUCCAGAAGCUGAACGAACUGGGCUUGGGAGAGGACAUCGACUUUGAGGAAUACUAUGGAUACUUGCAGCAGCUGCCUCCCGACCGCCAUGUCGAUACCAAAACUGAAUUGAACCUUGAGGAUCACUUUAACAUGGACCUCCGCCAUGCGGUGUAUCGCAUCAGAUCCUACAAGUGGCGAUAUCAUUGCCUACAGUUGUUAAAAAAGGAGUCCAAGAAUGAGUUGUGCUGUGAUGAAUUGAAAGAGUGCCCUAUGGAGCUUCUUGACAGAGAAGAAUUUCCUACAGAUUUCCUUGUGAAGAUGCGAUAUUUUAGCUUCUUCGACAAUGAAGGCAUAUUAGACUGGUUCUUCGAUCCUGAUCUCUACAAGCUUGCUUGCGUGAAUGACUACCAGCGUCUAGUCCCUCGGAAGCAUAGUGCUUAUGAGUACGCUGGUUGGGUUGUGUACCGCGGUUACCUCCAUAGCUACGAGAUGCAAUAUGAAUACAUCGAGUACUUCGAAACAUUAUUAAGGGAACUUAAGUGGUUGAAAGAUUGUCUACCGAGCAAGUUUUCAUCUCUUUCUGUAAGCAAGAUACGCACCAGAGGAAUUUAUCAAGCAACUAAGAUCGCCACUCGCUUUUCCAAGAUCACAACUCAUUUAGCUCGUAUUGGCUUCCGUGAUUGUUUUAACUACAUGUGCAUUGAGGCUACUUGGUGUAAUGGGUCCGAUGGUCUCUAUUUCGAGAUUUGGAAGCGGGUCACUCAACAAAAGGAGAGUUUCAGAGAUAGCUUGAAGGAAGUCUAUAAGCUGAACAAGUGUCCAUCACUACAAGAUAGCAUAAAAUAUGCCAUGGAGCAUGACUGUUCCGUGAUGGAAACGGCAUUUCUUCGUUGCACGGUAGGGGCAGGCAUUACAAAUGAAGUACCAGAGGAUAAAGCUCAGGAGUUGAUUGCAGAGGCAGUUGAAAAGCUGAGGAUAAAACCCAAAUUCUAUGAUGGGUAUAUCAGAAAGAAGAUCGACAUUGCCAAAGCUAUAGGAAUGAUUACUGAGGAUAGUUCCACAGAUACUUUGAAGGACGACUAUAAGCUGAACAAGUGUCCGUCAUUCCAACAUAGCAUAAAAUAUGCCUUAGAGGAGGACUGUUCUGUGAGGGAAUGGACGGUAUCAGAGGAUAAAGGUCAGGAGUUGAUUGCAGAGGCAGUUAAAAAGCUGAGGAUAAAACCCGAAUUCUGUGAUGAUAUCAGAGAGAAGAUAGAAAUUGCCAAACCUGUCGGAAUGAUCACUGUGGAAUGA
rnacentral:rRNA from 1 species